AUCGAACGCUGGCGGCAGGCUUAACACAUGCAAGUCGAGCGGGGAAGGGUAGCUUGCUACCUAACCUAGCGGCGGACGGGUGAGUAAUGCUUAGGAAUCUGCCAUUUAGUGGGGGACAACAUUCCGAAAGGAAUGCUAAUACCGCAUACGUCCUACGGGAGAAAGCAGGGGAUCUUCGGACCUUGCGCUAAAUGAUGAGCCUAAGUCGGAUUAGCUCGUUGGUGGGGUAACGGCCUACCAAGGCGACGAUCUGUAGCGGGUCUGAGAGGAUGGUCCGCCGCACUGGGACUGAGACACGGCCCAUGCUGCUACGGGAGGGAGCAUGAGGGAAUAUUGGACAAUGGGCGGAAGCCUGAUCCAGCCAUGCCGCGUGUGUGAAGAAGGCCUUAUGGUUGUAAAGCACUGUAAGCGAGGAGGAGGCUACUUUAGUUAAUACCUAGAGAUAGUGGACGUUACUCGCGGAAUAAGCACCGGCUAACUCUGUGCCAGCCGCCGCGGUAAGAC
rnacentral:rRNA from 1 species